rnacentral:rRNA from 2 species
CCUACGGGAGGCUGCAGUGGGGAAUAUUGCGCAAUGGGGGGAACCCUGACGCAGCAACGCCGCGUGAGUGAAGAAGGCCUUCGGGUCGUAAAACUCUGUCAUAGGGGAAGAAUAGAUGACGGUACCCUAUGAGGAAGCCCCGGCUAACUACGUGCCAGCAGCCGCGGUAAUACGUAGGGGGCGAGCGUUGUCCGGAAUCACUGGGCGUAAAGGGUGCGUAGGCGGCAUAAUAAGUCAGAUGUGAAAUCCCAGGGCUUAACCCUGGAGUUGCAUUUGAAACUGUGAUGCUUGAGUGCAGGAGAGGGAAGCGGAAUUCCUAGUGUAGCGGUGAAAUGCGUAGAGAUUAGGAGGAACACCAGUGGCGAAGGCGGCUUUCUGGACUGUAACUGACGCUGAGGCACGAAAGCGUGGGGAGCGAACAGGCUUAGAUACCCCAGUAGUC